rnacentral:rRNA from 1 species
GGGCCCGCACAAGCAGUGGAGUAUGUGGUUUAAUUCGAAGCAACGCGAAGAACCUUACCAAAUCUUGACAUCCUGCUAACGAGGUGGAAACACGUUAGGUGCCCUUCGGGGAAAGCAGAGACAGGUGGUGCAUGGUUGUCGUCAGCUCGUGUCGUGAGAUGUUGGGUUAAGUCCCGCAACGAGCGCAACCCUUACGGUUAGUUGCUACGCAAGAGCACUCUAGCCGGACUGCCGUUGACAAAACGGAGGAAGGUGGGGACGACGUCAAAUCAUCAUGCCCCUUAUGAUUUGGGCUACACACGUACUACAAUGGCGUUUAACAGAGGGAAGCGAAGGAGCGAUCCGGAGCAAAUCCCCAAAAGGCGUCUCAGUUCAGAUUGCAGGCUGCAACCCGCCUGCAUGAAGUCGGAAUUGCUAGUAAUCGCGAAUCAGCAUGUCG